ensembl:lncRNA
CACACACCUACCCACUAACCCACACACUCACACAAGUCAGUGUCAGCUUUGGCCACAUGACUUUAUUACAAUACAUUUUUUGUUAAAACAUGACAUUAUAAACCACAAUAGAAUUUUAAAAGAAAACCUUAUUUCUCCGCUGUGCUCUAUCCCUUUAAUUCUGAUAUAAUUACUGUCUCAUUACAGUUAUUAAUCAUAAUGUAGAUGACACAACCAAUGCCUGGUGAUAGGCUAUCACCCAUCCAUCAUAUUUACACUAAGAGCCCUUAUCAUGAACUCGUUAUUCAGAACUAUAUUCCCUCACUAAGUGUUUUUUACAGAGUGUGUUCAUGUACUUGGAAAUGGUAUUUACACGUCUUUGGUGUAGUGGACAGACAGAGACAGACAGCCAGAAAGAGACAGCCAGAGACAGACAGAGACUUAAGGCGUGGCAGUAUAUAUAAGAUACAACUCUGUUCCAACAUUUUAGAGAUGCAUCCUUCUUUCUUUCCUUCCUUCCUUCCUUCCUUCCUUCCUUCCUCUAAGUGGAAGGAAAGCUCAUAACAAUGUCUGGAACAGACCGAAUGGAAUGGCAUCAAACCAGUGGUGUAAAGUCCUUAAGCCUCUGGCCUGGCAGACUCACUAAACACAAAUGCUUCGUCUGUAUGUAUGAGUGUUGGAGUGUGUCCCUGGCUACCUGUCAAUAAAAAUAAAAUAAAAAAUUGUGCAGUCUGGUUUGCUUAAUAAAAGGAAUUUGAAAUGGUUUAUACUUCUACUUUUGAUACUUAAGUACAUUUUAGCAGUUACAUUUUUCUUUUAAAACCAAAUACUUUUAGACUUUAACUCAAGUAGUAUUUUACUGGGUGACUUUUACUUUUACUUGAGUCAUUUCCUAUUAAGGUAUCUUUACUUUUACUUGAGUCAUUUCCUAUUAAGGUAUCUUUACUUUUACUUGAGUCAUUUCCUAUUAAGGUAUCUUUACUUUUACUUGAGUCAUUUCCUAUUAAGGUAUCUUUACUUUUACAAAAGUUGUUUAAUUGAAUACUUUUCCCACCAUUGCAUCAAACACAGAACCCUUUGUUAGAUGUGUUUCAUACAAUUCCACUGAUUCCACUCCAGUCAUUCCAACAAAAGCCCGUCCUCCCCAAUUAAGGUGCCACCAACCUCCUGUGCUCUGUCCCUUUAAUUCUGAUAUUAUGACUGUCUCAUUACAGUUAUUAAUCAUAAUGUAGAUGACACAACCAAUGCCUGGUGAUAGGCUAUCACCCAUCACUUGUUACAGUAUUAACAACAAGCCUGUUUUAUCUACUACAAUAUUUACACUAAGAGCCCUUAUCAUGAACUCGUUAUUCAGAACUAUAUUCCCUCACUUAGUGUUUUUUACAGAGUGUGUUCAUGUACUUGGAAAUGGUAUUUACACGUCUUUGGUGCAGUGGACAGACAGAGACAGACAGAGACAGACAGACAGAGACUUAAAGGUGUGGCAAUUUGAAUGCUCUUAUAUAAGAUACAGCUCUGUUCCAACAUUUUAGAGAUCCUUCCUUCCUUCCUUCCUUCCUACCUACCUACCUACCUACCUACCUACCUACCUACCUUCCUCAAAGUGAUGUCUUACCUAACUACACUGGAUAGGUGAAGAUUUUGUGGUGGAAAUAUCACUCAGACCCAAUCCAACUCUCUAAGGCCAGACCCAAUCCAACUCUCUAAGGUCAGACCCAAUCCAACUCUCUAAGGUCAGACCCAAUCCAACCCUCUAAGGUCAGACCCAAUCCAACCCUCUAAGGUCAGACCCAAUCCAACCCUCUAAGGUCAGACCCAAUCCAACCCUCUAAGGUCAGACCCAAUCCAACCCUCUAAGGUCAGACCCAAUCCAACCCUCUAAGGUCAGACCAGGAAGUAAAGGAACUGAAGGAUGCAUGUUUUCAAGGAACCUGUAUUCACACAGGGCUGAAACAAAACAGUCUCAAUGUCAACUUGUCAUCUAAAGUACUGCUGAUUAAUUAAUAAAAUACUUUUUGUAAAGACCUCUCUCUCUCUUUCUCUGUCUCUCUCUCUUUCUUACUGACUGUCGGUCUGUCUUGUUCCAGCUCCUUCAAUCUGUAUUUUCCCUCUCUCCCCUUCUCUCUCUCUCUCUCUCUCUCACCCUCUCUCUCUCUG